UACGGAGGAUGCAAGCGUUAUCCGGAAUGAUUGGUCGUAAAGCGUCCGCAGGUGGCAAUGUAAGUCUGCUGUCAAAGCGUCUGGCUCAACCAGAUAAAGGCAGUGGAAACUACAUAGCUAGAGUAAGGUAGGGGUAGAGGGAAUUCCUGGUGUAGCGGUGAAAUGCGUAGAGAUCAGGAAGAACACCGGUGGCGAAAGCGCUCUGCUGGACCUUAACUGACACUGAGGGACGAAAGCUAGGGGAGCGAAUGGG
rnacentral:rRNA from 1 species